UACGUAGGGACCAAGCGUUGUUCGGAUUUACUGGGCGUAAAGGGCGCGUAGGCGGCAAUUCAAGUCAUCUGUGAAAUCUCCGGGCUUAACCCGGAACGGUCAGGUGAUACUGUUUUGCUAGAGUGCGGAAGGGGCAAUCGGAAUUCUCGGUGUAGCGGUGAAGUGCGUAGAUAUCGAGAGGAACACCAGAGGUGAAGACGGGUUGCUGGGCCGACACUGACGCUGACAGCGCGAAAGCCAGGGGAGCAAACGGG
rnacentral:rRNA from 1 species